rnacentral:misc_RNA from 1 species
GGAAGUAAAACGUAACAAGGUCUCCGUUGGUGAACCAGCGGAGGGAUCAUUACCGAGUUUACAACUCCCAAACCCCUGUGAACAUACCUAUCGUUGCCUCGGCGGUGCCCGCUCCGGCGGCCCGCCAGAGGACCCCCAAACUCUUGUUUUAUACAGUAUCUUCUGAGUAACACGAUUAAAUAAAUCAAAACUUUCAACAACGGAUCCCUUGGUUCUG